rnacentral:tRNA from 1 species
AAUAGCUUACUGGUAGAGCCCUUGGCGCGUAACCGAGAGAUCUGGGUUCGAUUCCCAGUCUG